AGCCACGUAGUGAGCACAUAGCGAACUAUUCUUUCGCCUUUUACUAAAGAAUACCGUGUGUGCACUACAAUUAAUGGCAUAUGCUAAUUUUUGGAGGAAUUCUCUUUUAACUGAGGAU